rnacentral:rRNA from 1 species
CAGUAGCCGCGGUAAAACGUAGGUGGCAAGCGUUGUCCGGAAUUAUUGGGCGUAAAGGGCUCGCAGGCGGUUUCUUAAGUCUGAUGUGAAAGCCCCCGGCUCAACCGGGGAGGGUCAUUGGAAACUGGGAAACUUGAGUGCAGAAGAGGAGAGUGGAAUUCCACGUGUAGCGGUGAAAUGCGUAGAGAUGUGGAGGAACACCAGUGGCGAAGGCGACUCUCUGGUCUGUAACUGACGCUGAGGAGCGAAAGCGUGGGGAGCGAACAGGAUUAGAUACCCGCGUAGUCCCUGUCUCUUAUCC